GAUUGACCUCGGAUCAGGCAGGGAUACCCGCUGAACUUAAGCAUAUCAAUAAGCGGAGGAAAAGAAACCAACAGGGAUUGCCUCAGUAACGGCGAGUGAAGCGGCAACAGCUCAAAUUUGAAAUCUGGCUCCUUUGGGGGUCUGAGUUGUAAUUUGUAGAGGAUGCUUCGGGCACGGCUGCGGUCUAAUUCGCUUGGAACAGCGAGUCUUAGAGGGUGAGAAUCCCGUCUAGGAUCGCGAGUCACGCCCGUGUGAAGCCCCUUCGACGAGUCGAGUUGUUUGGGAAUGCAGCUCUAAAUGGGUGGUAAAUUUCAUCUAAAGCUAAAUAUUGGCCAGAGACCGAUAGCGCACAAGUAGAGUGAUCGAAAGAUGAAAAGCACUUUGAAAAGAGAGUUAAACAGUAUGUGAAAUUGUUGAAAGGGAAGCGCUUGCAAUCAGACUUGCGUGUAAUGGUUCCCCCGGUCUCUUCUGACCGGGUCACUCCGUUAUGUUCAGGCCAACAUCGGUCUGGGUGGUCGGUCAAAGAUCCCGGGAAUGUAUCUACCUUCGGGUCGACUUAUAGCCCGGGUUGCAAUGCGGCCCACCCGGACCGAGGAACGCGCUCCGGCUCGGAUGUUGGCGUAAUGGUUGUAAGCGGCCCGUCUUGAAACACGGACCAAGGAGUCUAACAUCUAUGCGAGUGUCUGGGUGUCAACCCCCUACGCGUAAUGAAAGUGAACGGAGGUAAGAACCCGGUCGAACGGGUGCAUUAUCGACCGAUCCUGAUGUCUUCGGAUGGAUUUGAGUAAGAGCAUAGCUGUUAUGGCCCGAAAGAUGGUGAACUAUGCCUGAAUAGGGUGAAGCCAGAGGAAACUCUGGUGGAGGCUCGCAGCGGUUCUGACGUGCAAAUCGAUCGUCAAAUUUGGGCAUAGGGGCGAAAGACUAAUCGAACCAUUGAACAGGGCCAGAGGGGUCUGCCGGGUGGUUUCUACCAGUCCGUUGGGGCUACAUCGUCCUUCUGGCGGGGAUUUACACCCGCAGCAGCUACGGCUGUCCACAGACUAGGUGACGGUGGUCAUCUUCGCCA
rnacentral:rRNA from 1 species